UGUGCUGGCUGUGCGUGGAACCACACGAGGGUUCUCCUCUGCAUCACAGCCGUCCAUCUGAGGCUUCUCUCAUGAUGGUGAGCCGUUGACUGGAUAUUUCGGAGGUCAACAAUUUAUUUGCUUCCAAAAUGGUAAUGAUGUGCCCAAUUUAUUAUUGGCCAUUAAUCGUAAUUAAAGAUGAUAUUAUUUUUGGUAAAAAUGGCUCAGCCGUUAAUAUCGGAGGAACAGUUUCGUAAAAGGAAAUCGAACUGAUCAACUCCAAUCAUUCACCGUCACAGAUUAUCUCAUUCUGCGCACAUCGCGAGGAAUUUUAGAUGCUUUGUAAAGGUGGAAGAUUCGUGUGAUCGAGUGUGAAUUUUUAAUAUAUGAAGAUGGAGGAUGCAGAAUCCCCAAUUGUCGAGCAGAUUCCACACCUGCAAGCACGAGAGAGGGAGUAAGGAUGAGAUGCGACGACAACGAUAUCAAAGCUUUCUGGCCUUCUCAUCGGAAGAAGACGGUCACAAAGCAAACACUAGGAUCCACAUGAUGCAUCAGAAGGAGAGAAACACCUUGCGCUGAUGAGCCCAAAGGCCCUUGACUUAUGCAUUCAAAGCGCUUGAUAUAUUGCCCCACAUAGCUCAAAGAGAGGAACAGCAUCGACCUCGGAGCUAGCCAAAACCACGGCUUGCAACAAGGUGCAGCUGAAGAGGAUAGGGGUCAAAUCUAUGAACUAGCCACAUCCGGGCACUUAAUCUAUUCAGAACAUUGAUGACAUGUUUCACAAUCAUUCAAGGACAAUGGAAGGUUUGAUUGGGAGGUACAAGGUGGUGUACUUGAGAAGUUCAUCCAACUGCAGGUGGAACCUCAAUUACAACAGAUAUUCAAGUUGAAGCAUGAGAUUCUUCUUCUGCACAAGAGUGACAAGGUAAUUACAAAGUCAGAUGCAUCGGUGCACAUCAUAUACAGGUACAUUUCUAUGUUGUUAUUUAUAAAUAUACUUGUAUUGCUAUACAAAUCUAGAACACAUCCGAAAAGGCUGUGAUCAUUUGCAAAUAAUUCUUUUUUACUAUUCUCUAAAAGAAAGGAUAUACAAAUUAAUGUCUUGGAAUCAUUAACUACAUUUUCUAUCUUUUUUCAGAACUGUGUUCCUAUCUAAUUUAUUAUACUGACAGUCCAGGUAAUUAUCAUUACCCACAAAUUCAGUUUCUGCAUUGAGAGUAUUCAAUUAGUUUGAUAAGUUCACCAUGCAUUAGCUUGAGUUUUUCUUUUCUUUUCCCUUUGAACUGUCAUACAGAAAUCAUCAAGGUUCAUUUUGCGCAAUUGAAUAGAACAAUAUUUAUUUCGUAUGUGUGUCAAAAUAAGAACUGCAUUAUUAAUAUUCUCUUUUACGAGUACUUUGAGUUGUGCAGCUUGUCAGCCAAGUUCUUGUUUCUUAUAAAAAGGAUUAUUUCUUUUUUUGCUCAAGGACAAUCAAUGUAUUAUUCAUACAGGCACAUAUAAUGCAGUCCCUAUACUUGUAGUGUUUGAUGAUGAGUCCCUACAGAAUUAUUAUCUUCAUCUGAAUGUUGUAUUUCUUUUCUUCUUUAUGCAUGCUUCCAAUACAUAUUUCUGAUUUUUUUUUUUUUGCCUCUCAAAGAAGCUAUCUGUAAGCAUAUCAAUUAAUCUAAAAAUAUGUACACAGUCGCCAUGACAUUUUACAUCUAUAAUUGAAGGAUAUGUUUUAUGACAGAUACAUUGGAGGGGAACUGCUGAAUGUAUGAAACCGGAUGAAAUGCAUAUAUCUUGGAAAGGCAUCUCAACAUGAAUGUGUCAUAUCCAUGAUGUAAAGAUACUGGGGGAACAAGGACUCUGUUAUGCAACUCUUAUGACAGCUAACAUUCCACAUCCACCAAAUAUACAAAAUGAGUAUUAGGGCAGAGGGAAUUGAAGGGCCUGCAAUGGGUUUUCCUACUUAAAAAACUACUAGGAUUGGGUGACUUUGUAGGAUUGAGUUUGUCUAUGUUAUAGUCUUCAAGCAGCCAUGUAUUAGCUACUCUACACAUGAAUCACUCAUCUACAUGCUUCUGUGUUAUUCCAAAUAUACAAAUGAGUAUUAGGGCAGAGGGAAUUGAAGGGCCUGCAAUGGGUUUUCCUACUUAAAAAACUACUAGGAUUGGGUGACUUUGUAGGAAUGAGUUUGUCUAUGUUAUAGUCUUCAAGCAACUAUGUAUUAGCUACUCUACACUUGAAUCACUCAUCUAAAUGCUUCUGCGUUAUUCCAAAUGCUUGAAUGUCCCGCAAACUGUGUUCUAAGCUUCUAUUAUUUCAGUAUUCUGUGCUGUCUUCUCUACUCUGAUG